rnacentral:lncRNA from 1 species
GCUCCAAUUCCGGCAUUCUUUGACAUAUGGCGUGUGUGUGCAGACGCAUACUGAUACAGCUAUUGUGUGCUGGCGCUUGUGACCAUGCACAUCUCUUUCUGCCCUGGGAGAGAUGCGCUUAUAGCUCUCAGAGAGAAUAAAGAAAAAAUAAUUAAUAAUAUAUAUAUAUAUGUAGGCACUGAUAUAAGGUCCUGGGGGUGUUUCAUGGCGGGGUGUGUGUGCGCCUGGUUUCCAAUCUACCCUUUUGUAAGGCUCACAAAACCGACAGGACUCUACAGCUGUCCAUAGGUACAUUUCCGCAGCCAAAAAAAUGCCACUUUUACAACUCUGUUUGUCUCCCUGCUAUGCGGGGCUGAAUAGGAGCGAACAAAACAGGACCCUAGAUCUGGCUAGACGUCUGGCUUUAAUUGCUUUAUGGUUUAAAUAAGGUGGGUGCUCUUCUCUUUGAAACCGGAUUAUUGGAAUGUUUUGUCUACAAGCUACAAACAACAGACCCCCCUCGGACAAGGGGAGGUAAAAAAAAAACCCACAGCAAAACCAAAAAAACCCACCCACAAAAAACACCGAAAAAGGAAAAUCAAACCCCAACGCGAAGCUAAAACUGAUAAAAACGGAGGUUGGGGGUGGGGGAUGUGGCACAUCUGGUGGGUUUGUUUGGUCCAGCGUGUGUGUGCUGUUUGAUUUGUCAUUUUUAUGGGUGAGGGGAAAAAAAAUAUAUAAAGGGGGGGAAAUGGCUUUUUUAACAUAUAUAUUAUAUAUAUAUUUGGCAGGAAAAAUCCUGCCCGCGCUCAGUGUUUCUAUAGGGGUGGCAGCACCGCGCUGCGUUACUAGAGCUCUCCCCCACCCCUAAAACCGCAGGUAAAGGAUUAUCGGUUAUAACGCACCGUGGGGGCCGGUGGGUGCACCCCCAGCCCCAGCCCCGCACCCGCAGCGCUGCGCCCAGGCGCGGCCGCGAGAUGGCGCUGUUGCCCAAUGAUAGCGCGGGACUGCGCGCAGCGGGGAGCGCCCCGCGGCUCCCCCGCACCCGCGGACGCGGCUCUGCUCCCGGGAAUGGAAGAAGGGGGCACGGAACUGCCUAACACCCCACGCUACACACACCCCGCACUGUGCUGACGCCCCCCAUAAAUAGCUGCUUCUUUAAUAUGUAUUUUUUUAUCCGCGGGGAGCGCGGAGCAGCGCUCAGGGCUGACAUCUGACGGCGCGGGGAGCGCAUAAAUGCAUAAAAAAUGCUUGCACAG